rnacentral:lncRNA from 1 species
GCAGGAAUAGACGCAAGGGCUGGAGCUGGGAGGGAUGGGGGGGGGGGGAGGGAGAAUCCCUCCAGCGGCCCAGCCCCGCCUCCCGAGAUGUGGGCAGGCCAUCCUCCUGCCCUAACACUUUCCACCACCUGCCUUCCGCCUUGCAGGGAGGCUACCACCGGCUCCGGGAAGCCCCUCCCGCAGACCUGCCGCUCCCCUGCCUCAGAAGGAGCUGCUCGACCGACAGAUACCAAGGUCGUCUUUGCGCCGGCGUGCGACCCAUUUAAUACGGUAGAGGAUUUAAAACCCUG